rnacentral:tRNA from 1 species
GGGCGUUUGGCACAGUGGUAGCGCGCACGCUUUGCAUUCGAACUUGCGUGAGGUCCAGGGUUCAAGCCCCUGAACGUCCA